GGGGAAUAUUGCACAAUGGGCGCAAGCCUGAUGCAGCGACGCCGCGUGAGGGAUGAAGGCCUUCGGGUUGUAAACCUCUUUCAGCAGGGAAGAAGCGUGAGUGACGGUACCUGCAGAAGAAGCGCCGGCUAACUACGUGCCAGCAGCCGCGGUAAUACGUAGGGCGCAAGCGUUGUCCGGAAUUAUUGGGCGUAAAGAGCUCGUAGGCGGUUUGUCGCGUCUGCUGUGAAAACCUAAGGCUCAACCUUGGGCUUGCAGUGGGUACGGGCAGACUAGAGUGCGGUAGGGGUGACUGGAAUUCCUGGUGUAGCGGUGGAAUGCGCAGAUAUCAGGAGGAACACCGAUGGCGAAGGCAGGUCACUGGGCCGCAACUGACGCUGAGGAGCGAAAGCAUGGGGAGCGAAC
rnacentral:rRNA from 1 species